GAUGAACGCUAGCGGCAGGCCUAACACAUGCAAGUCGAGGGGCAUCGCGGUGCAGCAAUGCACUGGCGGCGACCGGCGUACGGGUGCGUAACGCGUAUGCAACCUGCCCCGCACCGGGGGAUAGCCCGCCGAAAGGCGGAUUAAUACCCCAUGGUCCCGGGGGCCCGCAUGGGCAUCCGGGUAAAGCCUUGGCGGUGCGGGAUGGGCAUGCGUGCCAUUAGCUGGCUGGUGGGGUAACGGCCCACCAGGGCAACGAUGGCUAGGGGGUCUGAGAGGACGAUCCCCCACACUGGUACUGAGACACGGACCAGACUCCUACGGGAGGCAGCAGUGAGGAAUAUUGGUCAAUGGGCGGAAGCCUGAACCAGCCAUGCCGCGUGCAGGAUGACGGCCCUACGGGUUGUAAACUGCUUUUCCCCGGGGCGAAUAACCCCCUCGCGAGGGGGGAUGCCGGUACCGGGGGAAUAAGGAUCGGCUAACUCCGUG
rnacentral:rRNA from 1 species